rnacentral:rRNA from 1 species
GAGUGAAGCGGCAAUAGCUCAAAUUUGAAAGCUGGCGUCUUCGACGUCCGCGUUGUAAUUUGUAGAGGAUGCUUCGGCGAAGACUCCUGCCUAAGUCCCCUGGAACGGGGCGUCAUAGAGGGUGAGAAUCCCGUAUGUGGCGGGCAGUCUAAGCCAUGUGAAGCUCCUUCGACGAGUCGAGUUGUUUGGGAAUGCAGCUCUAAAUGGGAGGUAAAUUUCUUCUAAAGCUAAAUAUUGGCCAGAGACCGAUAGCGCACAAGUAGAGUGAUCGAAAGAUGAAAAGCACUUUGGAAAGAGAGUUAAAAAGUACGUGAAAUUGUUGAAAGGGAAGCGCUUGCAACCAGACUCGCUCGUAGUUGCUCAGCCGGCCUCUUGGCCGGUGUACUCUUCUACGAUCGGGCCAGCAUCAGUUCGGGCGGCAGGAUAAAGGUGUCGGGAAUGUAGCACCCUUCGGGGUGUGUUAUAGCCCGGCGCGGAAUGCUGCCAGCCUGGACUGAGGAUCUCGCUUCGGCAAGGAUGCUGGCGUAAUGGUUGUAAGCGGCCCGUCUUGAAACACGGACCAAGGAGUCUAACAUCUAUGCGAGUGUUUGGGUGUCAAACCCAUGCGCGUAAUGAAAGUGAACGGAGGUGGGAACCCCUCACGGGGUGCACCAUCGACCGAUCCUGAUGUCUUCGGAUGGAUUUGAGUAAGAGCAUAGCUGUUGGGACCCGAAAGAUGGUGAACUAUGCCUGAAUAGGGUGAAGCCAGAGGAAACUCUGGUGGAGGCUCGCAGCGGUUCUGACGUGCAAAUCGAUCGUCAAAUUUGGGUAUAGGGGCGAAA